AUAGGGUCAAGUGACUAAGAGCAUGUGGUGGAUGCCUUGGCGAUGAUAGGCGAAGAAAGACGUGAUAGCCUGCGAAAAGCCUGGGGGAGCUGGCAAAUAAGCUUUGAUCCCGGGAUCUCUGAAUGGGGAAACCCACCCGCGAGGGUAUCCGUAUCUGAAUACAUAGGAUACGGAGGCGAACCGAGUGAACUGAAACAUCUAAGUAGCUCGAGGAAAAGACAUCAACCGAGAUUGCGAAAGUAGUGGCGAGCGAAAUCGCAGGAGCCUGGCAAAGAUAGCAUUCUUCUUAGCAAAACAGUCUGGAAAGGCUGGCCAUAGCAGGUGAUAGCCCUGUAUGCGAAAAGAGGAGUGUGGUACUAAGUUGCGAACAAGUAGGGCGGGACACGUGAAAUCCUGUCUGAACAUGGGGGGACCAUCCUCCAAGGCUAAAUACUCAUCAUCGACCGAUAGUGAACCAGUACCGUGAGGGAAAGGCGAAAAGAACCCCGGGAGGGGAGUGAAAUAGAUCCUGAAACCGCAUGCUUACAAAAAGUAGGAGCCCUUUGGGGUGACUGCG
rnacentral:rRNA from 1 species